CAGACACCCUUUGUGACUUAUACCUAUACUGUUGCCUCGGCGUCAGGCUGGCUCCCCUCGGGGGGUCCCUCACCAUCUCGGUGAGGAGCAGGCCCGCCGGCGGCCAAGUCAACUCUUGUUUUUACACUGAAACUCUGAGAAUAAAACAAAAAUGAAUCAAAACUUUCAACAACGGAUCUCUUGGUUCUGGCAUCGAUGAAGAACGCAGCGAAAUGCGAUAAGUAAUGUGAAUUGCAGAAUUCAGUGAAUCAUCGAAUCUUUGAACGCACAUUGCGCCCUCUGGUAUUCCGGAGGGCAUGCCUGUUCGAGCGUCAUUUCAACCCUCAAGCCUGGCUUGGUGAUGGGACACUGCCUUUGAGAAAAGGCAGGUCCUGAAAUUCAGUGGCGAGCUCGCCAGGACCCCGAGCGCAGUAGUUAAACCCUCGCUUUGGAAGGUCUUGGUGCGGCCCUGCCGUUAAACCCCCAACUUCUGAAAAUU
rnacentral:rRNA from 1 species